CGGCCUCUCCCAAUCCGCGGGAGAGGCGGGGCCGAAGAGCGGAAGGCCGAGGGGGCGGGGCCGAGCCGAGCCCAGCAGGAGCGCGGAGCCCCGAGCGGUGGGAGGCCGCCGGGCAUUGCCCCCCCCCGCAGCCCCCGCCCGGCGUUCCCGGGCAGGUCUGGAAGAGGAUCCCCGUUUCUAGCGAGAAAGCUGGGUCUCUAAAGAGAUGCUGCCCCUGCCAGACAUAGUUAAGGUGGCCGUGGAGUGGCCUGGGGCCAACGGCCAGUUGCUGGAGUUUGACCAGAAGCGGCCCCUGGUCUCCAUCAUCAAGGAAGUCUGUGACGGAUGGUCCCUGCCUAACCCUGAAUACUACACGCUACGUUAUGCCGAUGGAGCACAGCUGUACAUAACGGAACAGACUCGUGGCGACAUCAAGAAUGGGACCAUCCUCCAGUUGGCGGUUUCUCCAUCCAGGGCCGCCCGCCAACUGAUGGACCGGACCCAGUCCUCCAGCUUGGAGGGCCGCCUGGAGGCCAUGAAGGAACUCGCCAAGCUCUCGGCAGACGUCACCUUUGCCACUGAGUUCAUCAACAUGGAUGGCAUUGCGGUGCUCACCCGGCUGGUGGAGGGCAGCUCCAAGCUCCUCUCUCACUACGGCGAGACGCUGGCCUUCACCCUGACAGCCUUCUUGGAGCUCAUGGACCACGGCCUCAUCUCCUGGGACACCAUCUCCAUCGGCUUCAUCAAGCAGAUCGCAGAGUACGUGAGCCAGCCGACGGUGGACGUCUCCAUCCUGCAGCGCUCCCUGGCCAUCCUGGAGAGCAUGGUGCUGAACAGCCAGGCUCUCUAUCAGAAGAUUGCGGAGGAGAUCACGGUCGGGCAGCUGCUCUCCCACCUCCAAGUCUCCAACCAGGAGAUCCAGACAUAUGCAAUAGCGUUGAUCAAUGCUCUCUUCCUGAAGGCUCCUGAGGAGAAGAGGCAGGACCAGCUUGUUAGUCCGCUAGACCUGCCCUGCACUGAGAUGGCCGAGGCCUCUGCCCAGAAGCAGCUGCGUUCAGCCAUCCUGACGCAUGUCAUCCGAGGGAACCGCCCAAUCAAAACCGAGAUGGCCCACCAGCUGUACGUGCUACAGGUCUUGACUCUCAACCUCCGGGAGGAGCGGAUGAUGACCAAAAUGGACCCCAGUGACCAGGCCCAGCGGGACGUCCUCUUUGAGCUGCGCAGGAUCGCAUUCGAGGCCGAGGCCGAGAGCAGCGGCGUCCCUGGCGGCGGAGCAGAGAAGCGCAAGGCGGUCUACACCAAGGACUACAAGAUGCUGGGCUUCAUGAGCCCUGCCAACCCCGCCCUGGACUUCCUCCAGACCCCGCCAGGCAUGUUGGCCUUGGACAACAUGCUCUACCUGGCCAGACACCAUCAGGAUGCCUACAUCCGAAUUGUCCUGGAGAAUAGCAGUCCGGAGGACAAGCAUGCCUGUCCCUUUGGGCGCAGCGCCAUCGAGCUCACCAGGAUGCUCUGCGAGAUCUUGCAGAUUGGAGAACUUCCCAACGAGGGCCGGAACGACUACCACCCCAUGUUCUUCACGCACGACCAGGCCCUGGAGGAGCUCUUCGCCAUCUGCAUCCAGCUGCUGAACCGGACCUGGAAAGAGAUGCGGGCGACAGGCGAGGACUUCCACAAGGUGAUGCAGGUGGUGAGGGAGCAGAUCACCCGGGCCCUGCCCGCCAGGCCCCCCUCCCUGGACCAGUUCCAGAGCAAGCUGCGGGGGCUGGGGUACUCGGAGGUGCUGCGCUUGCGCCAGUCGGAGCGGAUGAGCCAGGACGACUUCCAGUCCCCACCCAUCGUGGAGCUGCGGGAGAAGAUCCAGCCGGAGAUCCUGGCGCUCAUUAAGCAGCAGCGCCUGAACCGCCUCUGCGAGGGAAGCAGCUUCCGCAAAGUGGGCAACCGGAGGAGGCAAGAGCGCUUCUGGUACUGCCGCCUGGCCCUGAACCACAAGACGCUCCACUACGGGGACCUGGAGGAGAACGCCCAGGGGGGGGCCACCCUGGAGUCGCUGCAGGAGAAGAUCCCCGUGGCAGACAUCAAGGCCGUUCUCACCGGGAAAGAGUGUCCUCACAUGAAGGAGAAGGGGGCGCUGAAGCAGAACAAGGAGGCCCUGGAACUGGCUUUCUCCAUCCUUUAUGAACCGGACGAGACCCUGAACUUUAUCGCACCCAACAAAUACGAGAUCGGUCAGAGUAGAAAUUUUUGAAGAUGUGUUAGAAAUCCCUGCUCUGUGCAUUUGCACCCCCUUGGUGGCCCCCCUUCCGCAGACUUCAUCCCUCAGACUGGACGCCUGCCAGUCGCCGUCUCUGCGCUCCCGGCAGGAGCAGCGCCUUAAAUCCUCCACCACUCGGGCCCUCCUCGCUCAGCGGUUCCCGGGGGGCCCUUGGCUCCUGGCAGUUAAGGAGAAUCUUUCUGGCUCUGUGAACCGGCGGUGGUGCUGGCUGCAGGGCGGAGGAUGUUCUUCCCUGUGUAGCCGCCGCUUUGAGCAAAUGGAGCUCUCUGUGCUCAGGCGCUCGCCCGCUGCUUGCGCGGUCCAGCUCCCAAUGAGCCGCACCCCGGUACCAAGCUGCAUCUCUCGGGUUGGGGACCCCCGAUUUGAAAGUUUCUUUGGGGCUGACAAGCAGGAGGUGGAACGGCAGCCUCUCCAGUCCCUUGUCCUGCCGCACUGAGCUAAUCUGAAAUCUCCGGCAUUAAUAACCUCCCGUGGGUGUAGGGCUGCCUCUUUAAAACAUGCAGGUUGGUGACCAUCAUCAGCCUGGCCGUAAUGAAGACUGCAGGCUAACGGUGUGCAGUUCUGCAUCUGGGUCGACGGGCUCCACGCCUUGCUGGGGAAGGACAUGGCGAGCGAGCUGACCAAGAGCGACCUGGAGACGCUGCUCAGCAUGGAGAUGAAGCUGCGCCUGCUGGACCUGGAGAACGUCCAGAUCCC